rnacentral:rRNA from 1 species
AUUGAACGCUGGCGGCAGGCCUAACACAUGCAAGUCGAGCGAGCGGCGGACGGGUGAGUAAUGUCUGGGAAACUGCCUGAUGGAGGGGGAUAACUACUGGAAACGGUAGCUAAUACCGCAUACCAUCAGAUCUGCCCCGAUGGGAUCAGCGCGUAGGUGGGGUAACGGCUCACCUAGGCGACGAUCCCUAGCUGGUCUGAGAGGAUGACCAGCGACACUGGAACUGAGACACGGUACAGACUCUGACGGGAGGCAGCAGUGGGGAAUAUGGCAGAAUGGGCGCAAGCCUGAUGCAGCCAUGCCGCUUGUGGGAAGAAGGCCUUCGGGUUGUAAAGCACUUUCAGCGGGGAGGCGUUACCCGCAGAAGAAGCACCGGCUAACUCCGUGCCAGCCGCCGCGGUAAUAC